ensembl:lncRNA
AGGAAGAGGAGGAGGCUCCAUGUCGAUAAAUACCUACUUUCCACCGACCACUUUUCCCACCCGGUGUCGCUCCGAUCUGCCGGCGCAUCGCGGAGAAAACCAAUCGGGUGUCUGGAUGCUAAAUGUUUAAACUUCUCAUCCAAACACAAUCACAUUCACUCUGUCCGCAUAGCGCCAUUUAUCUGGAGAAGCCGGAAGUAACGAGACUGUUUUUAAAAUGUAAGGAGUAGAAAGUACAGAUAUUUGUGUGAAAAUGUAAGGAGUAGAGUAAAAAGUCGUCUGAAAAAUAAACACUCCAGUAAAGUUACUACUUAAGUACAGUAACGAAGUAUUUGUACUUCGUUAGUUGACACCUCUGCCUAAAAUACUUUGAGAUUUGGGGCCAGCACUUUCCCGCCCUACGCUGCGCCUCGUCAGAGUCUCGCGACGCGCCCAUUUAGCGCCAUGACAACGGCGAGCAGUGUCCCUCCGACGGGACCAGACCCUGACAUUCUCUCCUCAAACAGCCGUUUGACGGAAUAACUUUCGCGGAGAAACUCGAGGUGAAAGAGCUGGACCGGGAUCAGCCGGACCUCACGAUCAGACAACGGACCGGUGUGAAAGGGAAGCCGAGGCUUCUGUAGAGACUUCUACGCCGAGAGGUUAAGCUAGCUGGUUAGCUAUGUGCUAACGGCGCCGGUCCGCAUGACGUCACCGUGCUAAAGUUUACAUCGCUGCCCAGCUGCGACGCACACAGGACCGCGGGAUGUUUACUGAAACUGAUUGGCUGGCAAAAAGAAAACCCACCAGCCGCCACUGAUACACAUAAAUAUACGUAAGUACAGUAUAUGUAUGAAGAAGGCCGUCGAGGCACCGGAGGGGGGUGUGGUAACUGACAGUCGCUGGAGGGAGGCCUUGUUCUGGGUGCAAACUGGACAAGCGGCCACAAACCCCUCCGUGUCCCUCUCAAGUGAUGGCCACCAGAAGCGCUGCCUGAAGAAGCAGACCAUCCGCCUGACCUCUGGCCGACAUCGGAUUUAAGGGGCAUGUAUCAAGGGCAUCCUUUUUUAAAUUGGUAUAACCUAUUUAAUAAAGAAUAGUUGAUAGCUUAAGUAAUUAAGUAAAGUAAGUAAAGUCAUUUAAGAACCUUUUAGGCUGUCUUGUGGCUGGCGUUUUUUUUAACACUAUAUAGAUAUUAGGCUGUAAAGCCAUUGUAUUAUUGUUUGAUUAAACAUUAGUGUUUUUGAAUCGCUCUUAGUCUCGACUCUCCCCUGAGACCUGUUGUCCAUCGCACAAGGUGCUUGUGCCACAGACAACACAGAUCACAGGAUCACUGAGCCACUCAAACUCCUCCACCACGUUAAGGUGGCGAUUCGUGGAGGAGAUUUUUUUCUUUUAUGUGGGAAACCCAUAGAUGGAGGGAAAACCCACAGUUGAACCCAAAGAUUUUUUUUUUUUAAAUUGGGGGAAAAAUAAAUAAAUAAAAAUUUAAAUAAAAAAAUAAAAUAAAAUAUAACUAUUUAAAAUGAAAAAAAAAUAAAAUGAAAUAUAACUUUUUAAAAUAAAAAAUAAAAUAAAAUAUAACUUUUUAAAAUAAAAAUAUAUAUAUAACUUUUUAAAAUAAAAAAUAAAAUAAAAUAUAACUUUUUUAAAUAAAAUAUAACUUUUUAAAAUAAAAAAAUAAAAUAAAAUAUAACUUUUUUAAAUAACAAAUAAUAAAAUAAAUAAAAUAAAAUAUAACUUUUUAAAAUAACAAAUAAUAAAAUAAAUAAAAUAAAAUAUAACUUUUUUUAAAUAACAAAUAAUAAAAUAAAUAAAAUAAAAUAUAACUUUUUUAAAUAACAAAUAAUAAAAUAAAUAAAAUAAAAUAUAACUUUUUGGCAUUUGAGGACCCAACUCCUCAUUCAAUCUGUAAUCAUGAAAAUGGGUAUAUUUUAUUCCCAGUGCUCCAGUAAGUGUUCUUUUCCAACUUCAUUGACUGGAAAGUAGCGGAGCACAGCGCCUGAGGAAUGAGGAAUCUUUUUCAUCUCAUCCAUUUCUUUCUUUGGCGAAAUGCAAGGCCGCAAAUGAAGAUGAGGGGAUUUCUGUAUCUGCGCAUAUACCCUGAACCCGGUCAUUUGGCCAAUGUUCGGAUAACCUCACACAGCCGGUUUGACAAAUCAAUAGUAACAACUUGUGAAGGUAGGCCGAUAGUUUCAUUCGCCUGCCGUUGGAAAUUGGGAUCUCAGUUAUGCAUUAGGCAAGGUAGACACACAUGUCCCCCUCUAUACUUUGUAUUAAAGGCAUGGCUAGGCGUAAAAAAUAGCAUCUGUUAAAUUAUAUUUAUGAUAUUUCAAUAAGAUAUUAUGUUAUAUAUUAAAAUAUAGUGCUAUAUUUAUGAUAUUAGUUCUAUAUUAUUAGACAUAUGGAAUAUGAUGCUAUU